rnacentral:rRNA from 1 species
AUAUGGUAGGUGAAGAGGUCUGGAAAGGCCCGCGAUAGAGGUAAUAGCCCUGUAACCUAAACUGUGUUCUCUCCGAGACGGAUCCCGAGUAGUGCGGGGCACGUGAAACCCCGUAUGAAUCCGGCAGGACCAUCUGUCAAGGCUAAAUACUACCUGGCGACCGAUAGUGAAUCAGUACCGUGAGGGAAAGGUGAAAAGCACCCCGGAAGGGGAGUGAAAUAGAACCUGAAACCGUGUGCUUAC